UCCAUUCUACAAAAAAACAAAAGGAGGGGUUACCCAUCGCUUCAAUCAUCAACUGAGAAAUGAUUGAAUUGACACCGUCAUCCUCGAAGAAGAGGCAAAGAGAACCUUUAGAGACAGCAGGACGGGAACCGUUUUCAGACGUGAAGAAGCAAAAUCAAGUUCCUGAGGGUUUUUAAAAGUUGCAAAGAGAACCUUGUGUGGGAGGAGGAGGAGGGAAACCCGAGAAGAGGCCAGAAAAAAAAGUUUGUGUGACGUCGGGUAUAAAGUGGCCAAUUGUUCCGGAUGGAGGCGUAAAGGAGUUGAUUCCCAGAUGAGGAGGAGGAGGAGGAGGACGACGUUUGGCCGGUUCUUGUGUGUUUGAUCCGUCACGCAAUCAUUUUGGACACUUAGAUCUUACUAUUUUGCCGGCUGGCGCUGAUGUUUUGCAGGAUCGCAAAGAGUUCGUCCCAUUUUGGGCCUCAUACAUCCGUCAGGUUCAUCUAUCCGAGGUUGUUAUUGCACAGUUGGAUAAUCCAGUACAAACAUAGGGCAGGAAACAAAAUGGCACAUAUUUUGGCGAAGGAAGGAUCAAGGUAGCCAAGCUGGAUUGGAACCAACCAUUUUGCAAAUCCAUCGUGCAGUACUAAGGCAGCUUCCUUAGCAGAUAAGCUAAGGAUCAUUUUGUGUUAAAAACUUAUCGGAAGAUAUUUGUAAUUAUUUGGCUAGCUUUGGGAUGUUGCUAAUUUACUCUACUACAACUAGGAAUGAUGAUCCCAACGGGACAUCUAGUUUGUGUGAUGCUUCUAUUACUCCUAGGAAUGGUGAUCCCGAUACAGGAUUUGUUUCUCGCGAUUGUUGUUGAGAUUUUUCUAUCAUUAUAGUUUAAGUUAUUUAAA